UACGUAGGGUGCAAGCGUUAAUCGGAAUUACUGGGCGUAAAGCGUGCGCAGGCGGUCUUGUAAGACAGAGGUGAAAUCCCCGGGCUCAACCUGGGAACUGCCUUUGUGACUGCGAGGCUUGAGUGCGGCAGAGGGGGAUGGAAUUCCGCGUGUAGCAGUGAAAUGCGUAGAUAUGCGGAGGAACACCGAUGGCGAAGGCAAUCCCCUGGGCCUGCACUGACGCUCAUGCACGAAAGCGUGGGGAGCAAACAGG
rnacentral:rRNA from 1 species